AAAAUUUACUCUGUAGGCGAUUCUGUCUUAUUUUAAGUGUGAUGAGAUAUUUGGACUAGAAAUGAGAAAAAUACACUUGGAAAGACUUGGAUUUUUGCAGCGUAGAUGGGAAUUAAAUAUAAUA